rnacentral:rRNA from 1 species
UACGAAGGGGGCUAGCGUUGCUCGGAAUCACUGGGCGUAAAACGCACGUAGGCGGCUUUCUAAGUCAGGGGUGAAAUCCUGGAGCUCAACUCCAGAACUGCCUUUGAUACUGGAGAGCUUGAGUCCGGAAGAGGUGAGUGGAACUCCGAGUGUAGAGGUGAAAUUCGUAGAUAUUCGGAAGAACACCAGUGGCGAAGGCGGCUCACUGGUCCGGUACUGACGCUGAGGUGCGAAAGCGUGGGGAGCAAACAGG